GGGAAUGGAAAUGAAAUGAAAGUGGCGAACGGGUGAGUAACACGUGAGCAACUACCUUACACAGGGGGAUAGCCGUUGGAAACGACGAUUAAUACCGCAUGAGACCACAGAAUCGCAUGAUAUAGGGGUCAAAGAUUUAUCGGUGUAAGAAGGGCUCGCGUCUGAUUAGCUAGUUGGAAGGGUAAAGGCCUACCAAGGCGACGAUCAGUAGCCGGUCUGAGAGGAUGAACGGCCACAUUGGAACUGAGACACGGUCCAAACUCCUACGGGAGGCAGCAGUGGGGAAUAUUGCACAAUGGGGGGAACCCUGAUGCAGCGACGCCGCGUGAGCGAAGAAGGUUUUCGAAUCGUACAGCUCUGUCCUAUGAGAAGAUAAUGACGGUAUCAUAGGAGGAAGCCCCGGCUAAAUACGUGCCAGCAGCCGCGGUAAUACGUAUGGGGCGAGCGU
rnacentral:rRNA from 1 species